AGCAACUAAUUCGAACUUGGUCCUCUACAAAGUUAAAAACAAAUUUGUAUUUAAGAGUCAGGUGUCCAAUGUUUACAUUAACUUCAUUGAAUAAAUUGAAUAUGUCUAUUUAAACGAAGCAUUUUACGCAAACAUCGCUGAACGAGUUUUCAUAUAUAUAACAGUGAAAUCAUAAACAAGCUCAUUUGGGUAAAGAUAUCUAUAAACAGUUGUGAAACGUUGUCCUGAAAACGAUAUAUUGAAUGUAACAAUGUACAUACAUAAAGUAUUUGUCUGAGUUAAUUACAAAUCAAUCCGUUUGCAAAACAAAAAAUAUGACAACUAGCUUUUGAUUUAAAAUUUGUAUUAUGAGCAGAAACAAUCUUCACUGAUAUAAACUGAUGCCAGUAGCACUUACAUCAACUGCAAGGAACCGACAAAACCAUAAACUGCUGUGAUCUAAUGUAGGGGCCUACCAGCACGACACUUUCGAAGAACUUACGGCUAUGAGACUACAAAUCUUCGAAUUGUCAAUGCAAAAACGAGACUCAAUAAUGGGUCGUAGUUUCUCAUUUGAUUGGAGGUGCUGAAAAUGUAACGUACAUAUAUAU